rnacentral:rRNA from 1 species
AGAGUUUGAUCCUGGCUCAGAUUGACGCUGGCGGCAGGCUAACACAUGCAAGUCGAGCGCUUCACUUCGGUGAGGAGCGGCGGACGGGUAGUACGCGUGGACAUACCUUUCUAUGGAUAGCUCGGCACUGAGAGUAUACAUAUACGCCCUUCGGGGAAAGAUUUAUCGGUGAGGAUGGCCCGCGUUAGAUAGAUAGUUGGUGGGGUAUGGCUACCAAGUCUACGAUCUAUAGCUGGUUUGAAGGAGAUCAGCAACCUGGGACUGAGACACGCCCAGAUCUACGGGAGCAGCAGUGGGGAUCUAGACAAUGG